rnacentral:rRNA from 1 species
GACGAACGCUGGCGGCGUGCUUAACACAUGCAAGUCGAACGGUGAAGCGCCUUCCUUUUUGGUGGGUGUGGAUGAGUGGCGAACGGGUGAGUAACACGUGAGUAACCUGCCCCCUUCUUCUGGAUAACCGCAUGAAAGUGUGGCUAAUACGGGAUAUUCUGGGUCUGUCGCAUGAUGGGUCUGGGCAAGAUAUUGUUUCGGUGGGGGAUGGGCUCGCGGCCUAUCAGCUUGUUGGUGGGGUGAUGGCCUACCAAGGCGGUGACGGGUAGCCGGCCUGAGAGGGUGGACGGGCACACUGGGACUGAGACACGGCGCAGCCUCCUACGGGAGGCAGCAGUGGGGAAUAUUGCACAAUGGGCGCAAGGCUGAUGCAGCGACGCCGCGUGAGGGAUGGAGGCCUUCGGGUUGUGAACCUCUUUCGCCAGUGAAGCAGGCCUGCCUCGUUUGUGGGUGGGUUGACGGUAGCUGGAUAAGAAGCGCCGGCUAACUACGUG